rnacentral:rRNA from 1 species
UACAGAGGGUGCGAGCGUUAAUCGGAAUUACUGGGCGUAAAGCGUGCGUAGACGGUUAUUUAAGUCGGGUGUGAAAGCCCCGGGCUCAACCUGGGAAUUGCAUUCGAGACUGAAUAGCUAGGGUACGGUAGAGGGAAGUGGAAUUUCCGGUGUAGCGGUGAAAUGCGUAGAUAUCGAGAGGAACACCUGCGGCGAAGGCGGGUUGCUGGGCUGACACUGACGCUGAUGCGCGAAAGCCAGGGGAGCGAACGGG